CCCCUCUCAGGAUUUUACCUGGAGAGUCUCCAGUACUCUACUAGUCUGGGCUAUGGGAGGGAGAGUCAAGCAGAGGCAUAACCAUUUCAUUACUAGCUUGGGCAGUGGCUAGUGAGUGGAAGGCAGUCUGUUACAAGU